rnacentral:rRNA from 1 species
GACGAACCGUGCGAACGUUGUUCGGAAUCACUGGGCUUAAAGGGCGCGUAGGCGGGCGCACAAGUCAGGGGUGAAAGCCCACGGCUCAACCGUGGAAGGGCCUUUGAUACUGUGUGUCUGGAGGGAGGUAGGGGGCGUGCGGAACGUUCCGGUGGAGCGGUGAAAUGCGUAGAUAUCGGAAGGAACACCGGUGGCGAAAGCACUCUGCUGGGCCGACACUGACACUGAGAGACGAAAGCUAGGGGAGCGAAUGGG